rnacentral:rRNA from 1 species
CUAUACAUACAGUCGAGCGGACAGAAGGGAGCUUGCUCCCGGAUGUUAGCGGCGGACGGGUGAGUAACACGCUGGGUAACCUGCCUGUAAGACUGGGAUAACUCCGGGAAACCGGAGCUAAUACCGGAUAGUUCCUUGAACCGCAUGGUUCAAGGAUGAAAGACGGUUUCGGAUGUCACUUACAGAUGGACCCGCGGCGCAUUAGCUAGUUGGUGAGGUAACGGCUCACCAAGGCGACGAUGCGUAGCCGACCUGAGAGGGUGAUCGGCCACACUGGGACUGAGACACGGCCCAGACUCCUACGGGAGGCAGCAGUAGGGAAUCUUCCGCAAUGGACGAAAGUCUGACGGAGCAACGCCGCGUGAGUGAUGAAGGUUUUCGGAUCGUAAAGCUCUGUUGUUAGGGAAGAACAAGUGCAAGAGUAACUGCUUGCACCUUGACGGUACCUAACCAGAAAGCCACGGCUAACUACGUGCCAGCAGCCGCGGUAAUACGUAGGUGGCAAGCGUUGUCCGGAAUUAUUGGGCGUAAAGGGCUCGCAGGCGGUUUCUUAAGUCUGAUGUGAAAGCCCCCGGCUCAACCGGGGAGGGUCAUUGGAAACUGGGAAACUUGAGUGCAGAAGAGGAGAGUGGAAUUCCAC